AGAGUUUGAUCAUGGCUCAGGACGAACGCUGGCGGCGUGCCUAAUACAUGCAAGUCGAGCGGACCGAAGGGAGCUUGCUCCUUUAGGUUAGCGGCGGACGGGUGAGUAACACGUGGGCAACCUGCCCUGCAGACUGGGAUAACUUCGGGAAACCGGAGCUAAUACCGGAUAACACCGAAAACCGCAUGGUUUUCGGUUGAAAGGCGGCWUUAGCUGUCACUGCAGGAUGGGCCCGCGGCGCAUUAGCUAGUUGGUGAGGUAACGGCUCACCAAGGCGACGAUGCGUAGCCGACCUGAGAGGGUGACCGGCCACACUGGGACUGAGACACGGCCCAGACUCCUACGGGAGGCAGCAGUAGGGAAUCUUCCGCAAUGGACGAAAGUCUGACGGAGCAACGCCGCGUGAGCGAAGAAGGUCUUCGGAUCGUAAAGCUCUGUUGUCAGGGAAGAACAAGUACCGUUCGAACAGGGCGGUACCUUGACGGUACCUGACGAGGAAGCCACGGCUAACUACGUGCCAGCCGCCGCGGUAAUWC
rnacentral:rRNA from 1 species